UCACAUGGAGAAACAAAAUAUGUUUUUGAAAUUAUUGGGAAAUAUGUUUGCUUCGUAAGAACUGUUUCCAAAGCUGGACAAACAGCGAAACAUUCAAGAAAACUUCAAGAUUUUCAAAUGUUUCCUAAUUUGCCUAUAGAUUUUGCCUCUUAAUAAACAUCUAUGUGAUGGCACGUGUAGUUGACCAACUAUUGCAAGAACCAGAAUAACCAGAAGCGAAACAAAUGACAACUUAAGUUUGUUAAGGCCUGAUUCCACGACGGCGAAAUUCUUCGCGAGAAAUUGUGUCUGCAAAAUAUGGAGGGUUGCACAUGAGCGAUUCUAUUGAAUUUUCCCACUUUUUCCGCUUUCGCAGUGACUAGAA